GAGGGUAUAGCUCAGUGGUAGAGCACAUGCUUAGCAUGUGUGAGGUCCUGGGUUCAAUCCCCAGUACCUCCA
rnacentral:tRNA from 1 species